rnacentral:misc_RNA from 1 species
UUUUGGACUUGCUCUGCAUGGCGGGCUCUCCGUGCUUAUGUGCGGCCAACCGACAUGGGGCUGUCUCUUCACUCUCCCUCCCGUCAUCGUAAUUGUCGGGGUGGGAUGCUCGUUAUCGGUUGCCUGUGCGGUUCUACCCUUUUUUUGGGGUACCAAAGUUGUCCCUUCGAUAGAUUUUUGCUUGCCCUGCUGACAUCGGUUUGUCGCUCGGGCGGCCGAAGUGUCGGCAAAAUCCUUGUGUGGUUGCGUGGGCGGAUGCCCGUGUUAUUAUCACUUGGAUUUUUGUCGGCUCUCACGGAUGCUGUGCCUAGUGUUAGCUCUGCGGGUCUUCGGUCCCGUAGGCUUCGGGAGGUCCCUUGCACAGAUCAUUGCUCCGGCGCUUUGACUGACGUGUCGUCUAUGCCGACACGACAAAUCUAUGCGCGGGGACUGUGGCCACGUGCAUGCGGAUUGCCUGUCCGAUCGUAUGAGCGGCGAUUGUCGGUUUGCGUCAUGAGAAGGGCCUCCCUAUCCGGGUUGGUGCUGGAAAUGACGUGCCGGCUCUCGUUUAAGACGUGC